GAUGAACGCUGGCGGCGUGCUUAACACAUGCAAGUCGAACGAAGCACUUUAUUUGAUUUCCUUCGGGACUGAUUAUUUUGUGACUGAGUGGCGGACGGGUGAGUAACGCGUGGGUAACCUGCCUUGUACAGGGGGAUAACAGUUGGAAACGGCUGCUAAUACCGCAUAAGCGCACGGCAUCGCAUGAUGCAGUGUGGAAAACUCCGGUGGUAUAAGAUGGACCCGCGUUGGAUUAGCUAGUUGGUGAGGUAACGGCCCACCAAGGCGACGAUCCAUAGCCGACCUGAGAGGGUGACCGGCCACAUUGGGACUGAGACACGGCCCAAACUCCUACGGGAGGCAGCAGUGGGGAAUAUUGCACAAUGGGCGAAAGCCUGAUGCAGCGACGCCGCGUGAGCGAAGAAGUAUUUCGGUAUGUAAAGCUCUAUCAGCAGGGAAGAUAAUGACGGUACCUGACUAAGAAGCACCGGCUAAAUACGU
rnacentral:rRNA from 1 species